rnacentral:lncRNA from 1 species
ACCAGUUCACAUCCCAGGCAGCAGAAAAAGAACUUAAUGUUACAACUCACUUUAUAAGCUUUUUGACCAAUCACACAAAGCAAAAGCACAUUGACAAUAGUUCUAAUCACUAUAAGCACACGUACCUUUGGUUAAACAAUGCUUGCUUAUUUCAAAUACAAUACCUGCUUGUGAGCCUUCAAACACAAUGCACAGAGCUCCAUUAUUAAGCUUAGAACUUCCUAAUAUCUCACUAGAUAAACUUUUCUGCAGCCUAGGGAGUUAUUCUAGACAAGCAUUAAUACACAGAAGAAGAGUCCCUGCAGUCUCCACACUCCUCUCCAAAAAAUCCACCCCAAUUUCAGAUUUAAAACUCAGGCAAAGUGCUGAAGCAGGGAAGGUUCCUUCCCACAUAAAGCAGCCAAAAAAUAAUCCCAGAGCAGAGGGAACACUGUGGAUUACACAGCACUGAUCCCAUCUAGCACAAACACACAGCUGAACAGCUCCUUGAAAACUCUCCUUAAAAACAGCCCCGUAAAAACCCUCCAUGGAUGAUUCCUAGAAGUAAUCACCAGCAAAUUUUAUUCGUGGGAAAGCACAGCAGAGCUGAGCUAUAUUUAAUAGUGGAAAGAAGAUAAAAGUAAUCUCUCCAAAGGUCUGCAAAUGCAGAGACUCUGUGCUUGGAUAAACUUCAGUGCAUCCUCUUGCAGUAAAUUCCAGCACAGCUCAGGGAUGUUUUCCUUGUGUGAGCAGCAAUUCAGGGAAUAUUUGGUUUUCAGAUCAGAGGCAGCCAUUAAAGCAUCCUUCCUGAGUUUCUUUUCACCACAAGCUGAAAUAUUUCAUCCCACAACUGGAGAGGGCUGGAGCUUUGAUAAUUCAGAGCCCUCAAAUCCCCCUGCCAGGAAGAAUUCCAGAAUUCUCCUUGGGGAAUUUGCUCCUUCUUUCCAUUCCAUUUCCCUUUGGGGUUUUUUCCUGAAGCAGAGCUUUUUCUCCCCAGAGCAAACAAUGGCAGCCCUCGGGAGAUGUGGAUCCUCGGGCAUCCAGCAGAGUGACAGCAGCCUCGGCUGUAAUUAUGGCCCUGCAAUCUGCAUGUCAUGAAUAAAUUGGGAGUUCAGCAAUAGCUGCAAUCACCACCCACGGGUUGAUGGCGAAGAUGGGCAGCAGCUGGGUAAAUGUUCAUUUUUGAUCUUUCCCUGACAACAAAAAGAGGGAUGGAGUGCAGGGCUUGUCCCCUGAACCCCCAAAACUUCUGCACCAAUCAGCUGGGCUGGGAAGAAAGGUGGAAAAUUUAGAAAAUGAGGAAAAACUUCAAACACAGCUAAAAUCGAGGCUUUUCUCCUGUUCUUUGAGCCAUUUGGUUCGCAGAUGUUUUUGGGAGCUCUCAGAGUGUGGCAGUCAGAGCCAACAGGGCACCCACACCAUGGCCAUGGGGAAAGCUUGCUGUUCUGAGCAAGCAAUUUCCCUGACAGUUUCUUA